CAGUCGCCACGGUAAUACAGAGGGUGCAAGCGUUAAUCGGAAUUACUGGGCGUAAAGCGCGCGUAGGUGGUUUGUUAAGUUGGAUGUGAAAUCCCCGGGCUCAACCUGGGAACUGCAUCCAAAACUGUCAAGCUAGAGUAUGGUAGAGGGUGGUGGAAUUUCCUGUGUAGCGGUGAAAUGCGUAGAUAUAGGAAGGAACACCAGUGGCGAAGGCGACCACCUGGACUGAUACUGACACUGAGGUGCGAAAGCGUGGGGAGCAAACAGGAUUAGAUACCCGAGUAGUCCCUGUCUCUUAUAC
rnacentral:rRNA from 1 species